GGCUAGGAAUGCCAGUGUAGUAUAGUGGUUGAGUGUUGGACUAAGACCCGGGAGACCAGGGUUCAAUCCCCCGCUCAGCCA